rnacentral:rRNA from 1 species
UGGGGAAUAUUGCACAAUGGGCGAAAGCCUGAUGCAGCGACGCCGCGUGAGGGAUGACGGCCUUCGGGUUGUAAACCUCUUUCGACAGGGACGAAGCGCAAGUGACGGUACCUGUAGAAGAAGCACCGGCCAACUACGUGCCAGCAGCCGCGGUAAUACGUAGGGUGCGAGCGUUGUCCGGAAUUACUGGGCGUAAAAGAGCUUGUAGGCGGUCUGUCGCGUCGUCCGUGAAAACUUGGGGCUCAACCCCAAGCUUGCGGGCGAUACGGGCAGACUUGAGUACUUCAGGGGAGACUGGAAUUCCUGGUGUAGCGGUGAAAUGCGCAGAUAUCAGGAGGAACACCGGUGGCGAAGGCGGGUCUCUGGGAAGUAACUGACGCUGAGAAGCGAAAGCGUGGGUAGCGAACAGGAUUAGAUACCC